rnacentral:lncRNA from 1 species
GAAUACAGUGUUGUGUGUGAAUUUCAUUAAAACGAUUAUCCAAGCGUGUUUAUUUGUUAUCGGCAUAUUGAUAUCCAUUGGUUUAUUGUAUGCCCGGUUUUCCAGUAGUCGGUUCAGAAUAGACGGAAGUCGAUUCGGAACUGCGUUUUUCCACUGGCCUUUAAAAAUAAAUUAAAAGUUUUAAAAUUCAUGAUUUCUCUAUGGUGAUCUAUUCACCCCCUCUCGAUCACCUGCCACACCGUAUAACAAUCCUAACUAGUAUUCACAUGUCACCAAAAUUGUAACUAAUUGAUCUAAUCAAUUCCACCUUAACUCAAUUAGCAUCGGUUGAUAACAAUUUGAAUAACUAACUGAUUCAUAACACUUCUCUAAUUCACAUAACAAUAGCUAAAUUUCCAAAUCUAAUAUCACAAUAAUAACAACUAACUGAUUCAUAACACUUCUCUAAUUCACAUAACAAUAGCUAAAUUUCCAAAUCUAAUAUCACAAUAAUAACAACUAACUUAUACACUAACAAUCACGAACUAUAAUAUUGCAUUAAGAUAACUUUAUCAACAUAGUUCAUACUAACAACAUCAAAUCCUUUUACACUAACAAUCCAACUUAUUAACUAUAACUAAUUUCUAACUAACAAACAAUUCUAACAUUAACUUUCAAUAUUAACAGUCAAUCUAACAACU